rnacentral:RNase_P_RNA from 1 species
AGGGCAGGCAAGAGGGCCGCCCCGCCCAACGGGCGGGGAGGAAAGUCCGAACUCCACAGGGCGGCGUGGUCCCUAACAGGGACGCCUCAGCUUGGUGACGAGCGGAGGACGGAAAGUGCCACAGAAAACAGACCGUCCCGACUCGCCGGUCAGGCGUGUCGGGAUAAGGGUGAAACGGUGCGGUAAGAGCGCACCGCUCCGGCCCGCGAGGGCGGAGGCACGGUAAACCCCACGCGGAGCAAGGCCAAAUAGAGAAAGGCCGAGGCGGCCCGCCUCUUUCCCCUUGUCCCUCCGCGGGCGAGAGGAGCCUUUCCGGGUAGGCUGCUUGUUCCGUCAAGGAACAGAGGUCGCGCGCAAGCGCGGCUCGAGAGGAAUGGCCCUCUCCCCGACGCCUCCGGGCGUCGGGGAAACAGAAUUCGGCUUACGUCCUGCCCUUCGC